rnacentral:lncRNA from 1 species
AAAAUAAAAUUUUAAAAAAAUUUUAUUUGAUUUUAUUUUGAUUUUAAUAUCAAACUUUAAUAUUACAAUCUGAUAAGCGAUCAAUUUUACAUCUACAAUUUUUGAAAUAUCCAAAAUAUGAUUGGUCGACUCUUAAUUUUAACAAUUACGCAUUAUAAAAUUUGUUAGAUAGUUUAAAAUAUUUUUUUCUCGAAUAAAAAGACUAAUUGAAUAAGGAACUGCAGAAAAUAUAUCGUAACCGAAUAAUCGUGAAUAAACAAACAAGAUAUUUUUCAAUCGUAGUUUCUCACAACAUGUAACGCAAUCUCCCCGUGAUCAAAUUGCUUAAUAAAUAUCAUUAAUAUGUAUAUAUCAUAUUAUGUAUUAAUUAUUUUAAUUAUUUAAUAC